rnacentral:rRNA from 1 species
CCUACGGGUGGCUGCAGUGGGGAAUAUUGCACAAUGGGCGAAAGCCUGAUGCAGCAACGCCGCGUGAGCGAUGAAGGCCUUCGGGUCGUAAAGCUCUGUCCUCAAGGAAGAUAAUGACGGUACUUGAGGAGGAAGCCCCGGCUAACUACGUGCCAGCAGCCGCGGUAAUACGUAGGGGGCUAGCGUUAUCCGGAAUUACUGGGCGUAAAGGGUGCGUAGGUGGUUUCUUAAGUCAGAGGUGAAAGGCUACGGCUCAACCGUAGUAAGCCUUUGAA